rnacentral:lncRNA from 1 species
UACUCUGCUGGAAAAGGGGGUUCGCCUACCCCUCCACGCCUUCAUAGUUACCCUCCUAGGGUUUAUUGGAGUAGGAUUCGCACAACUGGUGCCUAACUCCUAUAUCCAUAUAUUGGCGUUCAUCGCCUUCUGUCAUGAAUUAGAGGUUACCCCCUCUGUUGAUCUCUUCUUCACCCUCUUCUCGGCUGGCAGAUCCCGAGAACGAGGGUUCAAAAUGCUGAGCAAACAGUCCCCACGCCCAAACUCGAAAUUCGAGAAGAGGCCCCUGAUGAGCACCCCCUCGAGCAACAAAGGAUGGCACGAGAAAUGGUUCUUCGUCACUGGUCCU